GGACCCCUGGGUGGCUCAGUGGGUUAAAGCUUCUGCCUUCAGCUCCAGUCAUAGUCCCAGUGUCCUGAGUCCUGGGAUCAAUCACAGCAUCUGG